UCCUACUAACCCUGACAUCCUAUGUGUGUAUCAUUGCCAGCAUCCUGAGUAUCCCUUCCACCGCUGGGAGACAAAAGGCCUUUUCCACCUGCUCCUCCCAUCUCAUUGUGUCAUGACUCCCCUGGUAAAUCCCCUCAUCUACAGCCUGAGAAACAGAGAAGUCAAAGAAGCCUUGAGAAAAGCGAUAGUUUUUUUACGCCCCUAAACAUGAAAUGGAGGAUCCAGCUGGAGCUCAGGACAGUGUUGUCCGUCUAACUGGAAGGACCAGGGAGGGAAGUGGCCAUAACCACAUUCUCUUCAUGGAGUUUUUAACUGGGC